UUUUUUUUCUUUUUUCUUUUUUUUGAGUGCAGUGGUGCAGUCUUGGCUCACUGCAACCUCUGCCUCCCAGGUUCAAGCAAUUCUUUGCCUCAGCCUCCAGAGUAGCUGGGAUUACAGGUGCUCGUCACCACACCCAGCUAAUUUUUGUAUUUUUAGUAGAGAUGGGGUUUCACCAUCUUGGCCAGGCUGGUCUUGAACUCCUGACCUUGUGAUCCACGUGCCUGGGCCUCCCAAAGUGCUGGGAUUACAGGCGUAAGCCACCGUGUCCGGCCUAAAUUUCUAAAUUUCUAAUUUUUGCUUGGAAGCUUAAAUUUGAUCACUGAUAGAAAAUACUUUGUUGUUUUUCUAAAAGUUAUAGUGUCUUUGUUUCUUUUUUAAAAAUAAAAUGUCUCCCAUGUUGCUAAAUCCCAGUGACCAUAGUUUGUCCAUCAAUCUUUUUUCACAUUAAAACGGAGUUGCAUGAAAGAAGGUGCCUAGUGGAGCUGACACUAUAACAUUGAAAUUGAGUGCUUUUGUUUGAGACAAUCAUUUGCUGCAUGGCAGAAGAGCUUUAUGGGACUUUCCAUUUGGUCAGUCACUCAGACUGUUGAAAGAGUUGAGAUAUAAUAAAACUGAUCAUAGUUAAUGCUUCAUCAAGGAUAUUCUUUAGUGAAACAGACUUUUUUUAAAACUGCAAGCAUUUGCUGAGGAAGGUGCCAAGAGGACUUUUGCCAUUGGUGCUGGCUGUGUUGACUUCUUUGGAGGCACCAGCAAGCAGCUAGCUCUCCACUGUGCAUGCACUGUUAGGCAACCCUCACCAUUAUUAUGAAAGUAGUUUUGAUGUCUUGAACCCCUGAAAGAGUGUCAGUGGCUCCCAGGAAAAAGUUGUCCACACUGCCUAAGAGAAAAUUUUUUGAGGUGCAUAAUGUGGCAUUUUUAAAGUUACCACUUGUUUUGUGUAGUGAGAAAAUUUGAGAUCUACUCUCAGCACAUUUUAUGUGUACAAUACAGUAUUAUCAACUAUAGUCACCAUGUUGUACGAUAGAACCCCAGAACUUGUUCAUCUAUAAGUGAAAAUUUGUAUUACCCUUUGAUAUUUCUCCAUCCCUCUCGCCUCCCUUCAGCCCCUAGGAGAAACUCUUAUACAAGUGACCAAGAAAUGUGUUUAAAAUGUUCACGGAAGCAGUAUCUGUAAUACUAAAAUUUGGAAACACAUAUAAAUGUUCAUUGACUGGAGAAUGUAUAAAUUGUGUUGUAUUUGUAAUGUAACUGAAUAUUACACAAUGGUGAAAAAUGAACUGCAGCUUCAUACGUCAGAAAGGGUGAAUCUUAGGAACAUCCCAUGGAGAAUAAAAAGCAGGUCAUACAGGGAGACAUAUAAUAGGAUUGGAUUUAGAUAACGUUUAAAAACCUGGAAAAUAAGCAAUAUAUUGAUUAUGAACAUAUGAUACAACCAUAAUAAAAAUCAAGGGACUAAUUAGUUGAAAAUGUGUGACACUGGCUAGCCUGGGUGGGGAAGAAGAUGGCCAGGGAGUUG
rnacentral:lncRNA from 1 species